rnacentral:lncRNA from 1 species
UCUAUAGUCCACCUAUUAGCUCCCCUCCUGUUUACAAACCGCCAGUAAUCCCUCCAAUCCACAAACCUCCAAUCGUCAAGCCGCCUGUUUAUAAGCCUCCAGUGAAACCUCCACCUAUUCACAAGCCUCCAAUUGUUCCUCCAACCCCAUCCACUCCUAUCUAUUCACCACCAAUCCCACCACCUGCUCCUGUCUACUCACCUCCACCACCAAUAUAUUCACCUCCACCAAGUCCACCACCUACUCCACCACCUGCUCCUAUCUACUCACCUCCACCAAGUCCACCGCCCGCUCCUGUCUACUCCCCUCCACCAAGCCCACAACCUCCUAAACCGGUAUAUUCACCUCCACCAAGCCCACCACCUGCUCCUGUCUACUCACCUCCACCAAGCCCACCACCACCUCCUGUCUACAUACCUCCACCAAAACCAGUGCCUCCUAAACCAGUAUAUUCACCUCCACCAAGUCCACCACCUACUCCUAUCUACUCACCUCCGCCAAGCCCACAAUUACCUCCUCGUCCUGUAUACCAUUAUCCCUCACCUCCUCCUCCAAGCCCACCACCCACUCCCAUUUACUCACCUCCUCUACCAAGUCCACAACUUCCUACCCCAAUCUAUUCACCUCCACCAAGUCCACCAUUACCUCCUUCUAUAUACUCACCUCCACCAAAAAUACCACCUCAUGUUCCUAUUCACAAACCUCCACCGAGUUUUCCAUCUCCUUCUCCCAUUUAUAAACCUCCUCCAAUACCUUCUCCGGUGCCAAAGUUGCCGCCACCAACCCCCACCUACCAACCACCCCCUAGCUUACCGCCACCAACCCCCACUUACCAACCACCCCCUAGCUUACCUCCACCAACACCCACUUACCAACCACCCCCUAGCUCACCAGGAUAUGGAAUUCCUCCACCUUCUGGUUAUCAUUAAAUUUUCAAUAAAACUACUUGUUAACAGUUAGAGUUGUAUCGACUGUAUUAUGUUCUAGAAGAAUCUGUGAUAGAAAGCUUAAUAAUCCAUCAGAUGUAUGCCUUUGUGCCUUUGUUUUCCCUAUGAACUCGUUUCUGGUUUGAUUGAUGUAAUGAAAUUUCAUAUAGCCUUCAAGUUAUCUUAUUUUGUAAUUGGAAGUGCUUAAUAUCAUGAAUAAAGAGGAGAAAAAGAAAAAACCAACAUAUUAUAAUCCU